UGACAUUACUACUCUGGAAAUAUUUUGAUUGAUGUAUGCUGUCAUCAUGGCUACUUUUUUUCAGGACUAGAGGACUAGGCUACCUGAUUGACUGAUAGCUCUCCUGAGAGCAAUAAAUACAUCCAGGUCUCUUUCUCUGCCUUUAUUUCUAGCUAAUUGCUCCAGCUUUUUACUACAUUGCCAAGACUUUAUUUUAUCUAAAAACCACUUUGAGAUCCUCAAAUGAAUUUUUUUUAUGUAAAAGAUUAUUGCUAUCAAGACAUUAAAAAGAUUAUUGCUAUCAAGACAUUAUUAGAUUAAAAAGAAGUUCUUUCCUUUUUGAUAAUCUCUUCCUUCCUUCCUGAAUUCAGUUUUUAUGGCAUCACAAAUAGGCCUGGAGGUCAUGAUGUGAAUAAUCUAAGACUAGAACUUUGAACUGCUUUUUAAAACUCAGAAGCUUGGUAGAUUUUUAACACCUCCUCAUUUUUCUACAUGUCCCAGCACAUCUUAGCUUUACAGCUAUGCCAUCAAGCAUGAACUUUGGAACUUAUAUCUAAGCAGUUCCUUUUUUUCUUUUCUCUUUUUUUCUUUCUUUCUUUUCUUUUUUUUUGUUUUUUCCCCAGAAAUCUAAUCUUACCAUGUUAAUGGCACGGGAUGUUCUACAGUUUUUUACAAUACACCUACAAAUAUGAUCACAUCUCGAUAACCUUGUUUUCUGUACUGACAGUCUUUUCUUCUGCUCUUCUCCCUGUCUGCCCGCCCAGCACAGCGCCUCAGCUCGCUGUUGACAUCACCGGGGCUUAGAUCACACCUGGGACCCUCUCACCGACCUCUUUAAAGAUUCCUGGGGAGAAAUGAAAACAUGCAUGUCCCUUGAGUGGAACAGGAAGUUCAGCAAGUCAAAACACCGUCUCUAAAGCUUUGGUUGGGGUUAUCCAUUUGUCAGAAGUGCAUGUCUUUACCUGUAUCAGCAUUGAGGCAGGCCGGAGGUCUGAUGCAUCCAACCACAGUGUUGUGAUAAGGGAAGGGAAGCAGAACUUGCCCACAGCAUAUCUCCAUGAGGAGAUGAAAAGGCUGAGCUCCCGUAGCGCACAGGAGCAGUUUCAGCUUUCCCUUUCAGUAGACAGUUUGUGAAGAGGUACUUGGAACACCUCAGUUAACAUACAGUGAGUCCUGAGGAUGUCCUUCAGUCCUUGUGCGGAAGUUGUAACACUCUAUAGAAAAGAAAAUACUAGUUGUACUGUGGAAGAAAGCCAAGUCUCAGUCAGCUCCUAAUAAAAAAAUCUGGUCAAAAGUUUGGAAGUUUGGAUUAUUCCUCUGUUGGAAAGAUUGAUGGUGGAGUCAUCUAUCUUUGAAGCAACUCUAUUCAUAAGAAAGUUCAAAGCCCUGUUUCUUUGAACAGAGGUGAAAUCAAACAACCUGAGCCAGUUUCCCACCUCCCAGAUUGCAGGUACUUUCCAGACAGCGCCUUGCCAUCUCACUCCAUAAAUAGAGCUUCUUUUGGCUGUGUGCACCAAUGUGUAGCUUGUACGUCACCUCCAGUCUGGGAGAUAAGUCCAGCCAGCCUGGCUGUCCUCUCCCAGAAGAGACAAUGAUCAGAUGCUCAGGGAACAAACGGAAGGCAAAUAUGCACGUGCUGCUUCUGGCCUGUCUUAGUCCAGAGCGCAGAGCUGACUUCUCUUGCCCAGGACUACGGAGACUGGCCCUUCUGCGGAGGUGCAGAGGAGGGAGGGGUAUCCAAAGCUCAUGUGCUGCUGGAAGAAAACACAAACUUUUAGACAUGUGAACCCUUUGUCAGCCCUUGUUCACCCUGUAAACCCCAUAUAUCCCUAGGCCUUUGUGGCUACAACCACAUCCAUUUUACACAUACUCUCAUGACCAAAACAAUACUUAAUAAAGA